GCAGAAGCACAUGAUUUUGCCAAACUACGUGCUAAUGAGAAAGACACAUGCAAACGCUCAACAUUCAAAGGUAGUGCAUAUUACCUCACUGAUUUAAUUAAUGGUACUACAUAGGACAUGUCGACAUUGAUCAAUCAGUAAGGGGUUAAUAUAUAGCUAACCGCAUAUAUCUAUGCGUGGGUGCACUUUGCACUAGCAGCACAUUUUACUCUUAAAAUAAAAUAGAGGACAGACAAAUAACUAAAGUGGUAAUUAAACUGCACAAAUGUCAGAAUAUAAUAAGUAUUCGUUUCCUUUUCCUAUAACUGCUCACGCAUGCACAGGCACACCUACACUUUCCCCUUUAUAAUAAAACAAAAGUUAGGACGUCAAGACACCGGCAGUUGCGAN
rnacentral:lncRNA from 1 species